GGUUUCGCCAUGUUGGCCAGGCUGGUCUCAAAUUCCUGUCUUAAGGGAUCCGCCUGCCUCAGCCUCCCAAAGUGCUGGGAUUACAGUCGUAAGCCACCGCGCUUGGCUACUUGAAGAUUUUGAGGCAUACUGAUCCUAUGUGAGCAGGUAGCCCUUUAAGCACUCCAGCUCUUCUCUGACAUUAGGUUACACUCAACUUCUUUGGCACCUCUUCUGUUCAGCCAACCGAAUGUUUUGAGGUUUCUCCUUUCUUAUUCUUUCUUUGAAAGAACCUGAACAGCUCACCUUCAGGUAUAAAUUUGAAAACAUUUGUGCUGAAUAUUUUAUACCAUAACACCAUUCAUUAACUUUUACUCCUAGCCUAAAGGAAUUACUUCAAGGGAGUACAGAGAAAUAACUUACUUAUCUUCAAGGCUUUGCAUCAUUAAUACUGAAUUUUAGUUUAGGGUUAUUAAGUAUUUAAGGGAAGCUCUGGGGAGACAUGCUUUUUGGCCUGUGCC